UCCCUGGUAGUAUAUCGGCUAGUACACGCGCCUGUCAUAAAUGAGCUGAUGAUGGUAACGCGGGAAAGCUGGGUUCGACUCCCAGCCAGGGAG